UACAGCGGGUGCAAGCGUUGCUCGGAUUCAUUGGGCGUAAAGGUUUGGUAGGUGGUCUCAUUUGUCGGAUGUGAAAGCCUUGGGCUUAACCCAAGAAGUGCAUCCGAAACGGUGAGACUAGAGUUCUGGAGAGGCUAGGGGAAUUCCCGGUGUAGCGGUGAAAUGCGUAGAGAUCGGGAGGAACACCAGAGGCGAAGGCGCCUAGCUGGACAGAUACUGACACUCAACAACGAAAGCGUGGGGAGCAAACAGG
rnacentral:rRNA from 1 species